rnacentral:rRNA from 1 species
CACGUAGGGUGCGAGCGUUGUCCGGAAUUAUUGGGCGUAAAGAGCUCGUAGGCGGUGUGUCGCGUCGGCCGUGAAAACCUGCAGCUUAACUGUGGGCGUGCGGUCGAUACGGGCAUCACUGGAGUUCGGCAGGGGGAGACUGGAAUUCCUGGUGUAGCGGUGAAAUGCGCAGAUAUCAGGAGGAACACCGGUGGCGAAGGCGGGGUCUCUGGGGCCGAUACUGACGCUGAGGAGCGAAAGCGUGGGGAGCGAACAGG